UUCGUAGGUGGCCCGCUAAGUCACACGUGAAAUCCCUCAGCUUAACUGGGGAACUGCGUGUGAGACUGGCAGGCUUGAGUGCAGGAGAGGAACGCGGAAUUCCAGGUGUAGCGGUGAAAUGCGUAGAUAUCUGGAGGAACACCGGUGGCGAAGGCGGCGUUCUGGACUGUAUCUGACACUGAGGAACGAAAGCCAGGGAGCAAACG
rnacentral:rRNA from 1 species